UACGUAGGGACCAAGCGUUGUUCGGAUUUACUGGGCGUAAAGGGCGCGUAGGCGGCAAUUCAAGUCAUCUGUGAAAUCUCCGGGCUUAACCCGGAACGGUCAGGUGAUACUGUUUUGCUAGAGUGCGGAAGGGGCAAUCGGAAUUCUCGGUGUAGCGGUGAAAUGCGUAGAUAUCGAGAGGAACCCCAGAGGUGAAGACGGGUUGCUGGGCCGACACUGGCGCUGACAGCGCGAAAGCCAGGGGAGCAAACGGG
rnacentral:rRNA from 1 species